rnacentral:rRNA from 1 species
ACGUCUUAAUUAAUUAUUAUCAGCGCGGCCUAUCAGCUUGUUGGUGGGGUAACGGCCUACCAAGGCAUCGACGGGUAGCUGGUCUGAGAGGACGAUCAGCCACACUGGGACUGAGACACGGCCCAGACUCCUACGGGAGGCAGCAGUAGGGAAUCUUGCGCAAUGGGCGAAAGCCUGACGCAGCAACGCCGCGUGGGGGAUGAAGGCCCUCGGGUUGUAAACCCCUUUCAGCAGGGACGAAAUUGACGGUACCUGCAGAAGAAGCCCCGGCCAACUACGUGCCAGCAGCCGCGGUAAUACGUAGGGGGCGAACGUUGUCCGGAUUUAUUGGGCGUAAAGAGCUCGUAGGCGGCUCAGCAAGUCGGCCGUGAAAACCCGAGGCUCAACCUCGGGACGCCGGUCGAAACUGCUGUGGCUAGGGUCCGGUAGAGGAGAGUGGAAUUCCCGGUGUAGCGGUGAAAUGCGCAGAUAUCGGGAGGAACACCAGUAGCGAAGGCGGCUCUCUGGGCCGGCACCGACGCUGAGGAGCGAAAGCUAGGGGAGCAAACAGGAUUAGAUACCCUGGUAGUCCUAGCCGUAAACGUUGGGUACUAGGUGUGGCGGAGUCAUUGACCUCUGCUGUGCCGAAGCUAACGCAUUAAGUACCCCGCCUGGGGAGUACG